rnacentral:rRNA from 1 species
GAUGAACGCUGGCGGCGUGCCUAAUACAUGCAAGUCGAGCGAACGGACGAGAAGCUUGCUUCUCUGAUGUUAGCGGCGGACGGGUGAGUAACACGUGGAUAACCUACCUAUAAGACUGGGAUAACUUCGGGAAACCGGAGCUAAUACCGGAUAAUAUUUUGAACCGCAUGGUUCAAAAGUGAAAGACGGUCUUGCUGUCACUUAUAGAUGGAUCCGCGCUGCAUUAGCUAGUUGGUAAGGUAACGGCUUACCAAGGCAACGAUGCAUAGCCGACCUGAGAGGGUGAUCGGCCACACUGGAACUGAGACCCGGUCCAGACUCCUACGGGAGGCAGCAGUAGGGAAUCUUCCGCAAUGGGCGAAAGCCUGACGGAGCAACGCCGCGUGAGUGAUGAAGGUCUUCGGAUCGUAAAACUCUGUUAUUAGGGAAGAACAUAUGUGUAAGUAACUGUGCACAUCUUGACGGUACCUAAUCAAAAAGCCACGGCUAACUACGU